ACACAUGUUUAUGUUUGCUUUAAGUUUUUUUUUUUUUUUUUUUUAACUAAAAAAGUAUUUCUUGUGUAUUUCUUUUUAAGCAGACUACACCCUGUAAUGCAGAAUCAACCUGAGUCUCCUGGAGCGGUUUAUUAACAGUGAAGAUCCAGGACCAGAAUCAGAGUGAACAGGAACUCUCCUGCAGUCCUCCUGAACCUCCAUUGGUGACGUCUGUGGGGUGAUGUAACUGAGAUCCUGGUGUUUCUCUUCUGGUUGGCGAGCGGAGUAUCCUACAGGAUGAUCUCAAGAGUGUUUGGAUCUCUCGUUCCACUGUCCACUGCAUCAUCCACAGUCACUGAGGAGGUGGUGGCCAUUCGCCAUAAGGACCUUCACCUUCCAAAAACCCCUGAGGACCUGGAGGUGGAGUCCCGUGGGUUUGCAGGGCUGGCACAGCACAGAGUUUUUCCUUAAAGCUGCAGGUGCCAUCGAUGGAUGCCACAUCAGGAUCAAACCUCCUGGUGACCCUGGCAUCAUUCCAAAAGCGCCCUCGAUUAUAGAGCGUGCUUUGGAAUGAUGAAGACAAGAUUCAGAGGCAUCUUCCUGCAAGUGCUGGAGGUGCAUCACACCUUUGUACCUCAUGGAAGUGAACACAUAGCAGCAUUUUAUAUUCCUUGGAAUAUAUUUCUAUAAAUUUAUAUAUUUAAUUUAUAUAUUGCAGGUUGUCUCAGCUUGGGCCAUCCUCCACAAUAUCUGCUCCUGUGCUGACGACACCGAGGCCCCAGAGGAUGAUGUGGAGGUGAUGAUGAGGAGGAAGCUGGUUUGAAGGUCACCAGUGGUGCUCUCUGGCAGGACCAACUACCUGCUGAGGUUUCUGCCCUGGGGGAGGUACCACCUGACCUUGAUUACUUUUAACAGCAUCCGUCCACAGCCAAUCCUGUAAACCCUGAAGAUGGACGAUGCAGUCUACAGUGAAGAUGAUCCUGAAACUCUGCAGACCAUCCUGCAAGAUGUUCCAAUCACCACCCAGAAAGUUCCAUCCCCGCGUCUCAGUUGAAGCAUCUCAUCCAUGUCGACCAUCUUUGUAAAUAGUGUUACAAUGAAUUACUGUGUUGGAUUUAUACCUUUAUUUAUAUUUAAAAAAAACAAACAUUUUAAUACAUCAAAUAUAAACUUCAUUUAUUCUCAGAAAUCAAAUGUAGUUAUUUGUUGGCAUUUCUUUCCAGGAGACUAUAAAGUUGGUCAAAAGUCUCCCUCCUCUCUCGUGCGCUCUGCUCUUCUGCCUCAUGUCCUCUCUGAUCAGGUCUAGAAGCUCAUCACUAGUCGUGUUUCCAUUAACUCUGAAAUUUCGCAAAUUGGAAUUUUGAUACAUUCUCCUAAUGGAAACACCACAAUUCCUAGAA